UAGGGGAGCGUUCUGUAAGCCUGUGAAGGUGUGUCGUGAGGCAUGCUGGAGGUAUCAGAAGUGCGAAUGCUGACAUAAGUAACGAUAAAGCGGGUGAAAAGCCCGCUCGCCGGAAGACCAAGGGUUCCUGUCCAACGUUAAUCGGGGCAGGGUGAGUCGACCCCUAAGGCGAGGCCGAAAGGCGUAGUCGAUGGGAAACGGGUUAAUAUUCCCGUACUUGGUGUUACUGCGAAGGGGGGACGGAGAAGGCUAUGUUGGCCGGGCGACGGUUGUCCCGGUUUAAGCGUGUAGGUGUGUGUUCCAGGUAAAUCCGGUUCACUUUAACACUGAGGCGUGACGACGAGGCACUACGGUGCUGAAGCAACAAAUGCCCUGCUUCCAGGAAAAGCCUCUAAGCAUCAGGUAACAUCAAAUCGUACCCCAAACCGACACAGGUGGUCAGGUAGAGAAUACCAAGGCGCUUGAGAGAACUCGGGUGAAGGAACUAGGCAAAAUGGUGCCGUAACUUCGGGAGAAGGCACGCUGACACGUAGGUGAAGUGAUUUACUCAUGGAGCUGAAGUCAGUCGAAGAUACCAGCUGGCUGCAACUGUUUAUUAAAAACACAGCACUGUGCAAACACGAAAGUGGACGUAUACGGUGUGACGCCUGCCCGGUGCCGGAAGGUUAAUUGAUGGGGUCAGCGCAAGCGAAGCUCCUGAUCGAAGCCCCGGUAAACGGCGGCCGUAACUAUAACGGUCCUAAGGUAGCGAAAUUCCUUGUCGGGUAAGUUCCGACCUGCACGAAUGGCGUAAUGAUGGCCAGGCUGUCUCCACCCGAGACUCAGUGAAAUUGAACUCGCUGUGAAGAUGCAGUGUACCCGCGGCAAGACGGAAAGACCCCGUGAACCUUUACUAUAGCUUGACACUGAACAUUGAGCCUUGAUGUGUAGGAUAGGUGGGAGGCUUUGAAGUGUGGACGCCAGUCUGCAUGGAGCCGACCUUGAAAUACCACCCUUUAAUGUUUGAUGUUCUAACGUGGACCCGUUACCCGGGUUGCGGACAGUGUCUGGUGGGUAGUUUGACUGGGGCGGUCUCCUCCUAAAGAGUAACGGAGGAGCACGAAGGUUGGCUAAUCCUGGUCGGACAUCAGGAGGUUAGUGCAAUGGCAUAAGCCAGCUUGACUGCGAGCGUGACGGCGCGAGCAGGUGCGAAAGCAGGUCAUAGUGAUCCGGUGGUUCUGAAUGGAAGGGCCAUCGCUCAACGGAUAAAAGGUACUCCGGGGAUAACAGGCUGAUACCGCCCAAGAGUUCAUAUCGACGGCGGUGUUUGGCACCUCGAUGUCGGCUCAUCACAUCCUGGGGCUGAAGUAGGUCCCAAGGGUAUGGCUGUUCGCCAUUUAAAGUGGUACGCGAGCUGGGUUUAGAACGUCGUGAGACAGUUCGGUCCCUAUCUGCCGUGGGCGCUGGAGAACUGAGGGGGGCUGCUCCUAGUACGAGAGGACCGGAGUGGACGCAUCACUGGUGUUCGGGUUGUCAUGCCAAUGGCACUGCCCGGUAGCUAAAUGCGGAAGAGAUAAGUGCUGAAAGCAUCUAAGCACGAAACUUGCCCCGAGAUGAGUUCUCCCUGAGACUUAGAGUCUCCUGAAGGAACGUUGAAGACGACGACGUUGAUAGGCCGGGUGUGUAAGCGCAGCGAUGCGUUGAGCUAACCGGUACUAAUGAACCGUGAGGCUUAACCUUAC
rnacentral:rRNA from 1 species